AAUCGUAGAAAUCGAACGCUUUGUUGAUUGCUUCAACCUGGAGGAGAUUAUCAUCAUCCAGUUAUUAUCAUCAUCCAGCUAUCAUCAACAUUUUGCUAUUAUCAUGAUCUAGUUAUCUUCCUCAUUCAGUUUUCUUCAUAAACGUUGUCACCUCGAUGUCGAGAAUGCGCCAUUUGUCCCAAGACUCAGUAUCCUUAGGCACAGGGUUGCUCUUUACCCAACCCCCGCAAGCGUAGCUGUAGAAAUCCACGCACGGGUCAACGCUAGGAUCUAGGGACCGCACCAGGUCUGCAGGAUUGAUAAUAGAAUAACGAUUUAUUUGUGGCUUGAGGAAAUUCAAGGAUAGGAAAUGAAACAAAAGCAAUGGGGGUAGCCUGGAAACCAGAGGCUCAAUUCGUUUUUUUUUUUAGCAAAAAUAAAAGGAGAGAGAAAGGGCCAGCAAAUCUAUGCUAGUUCUCGGACUAACAGGGGGUGGGUAAAACAGACUUGCAGCCUCUGAAACAAAGGGUAGAAUAAGGGUCCCUGAAUUACACCCAUUGGCUGAUGUUGUGAAUUUUAUAAUUAUAUGUAUGAGGCAACAACAAAACCCAGACAAGAAAUUAUCCGCAGUUCCCUUCUCUCAAAUUCUAAUACAAUGAUAUGUAAGCACACACGCAUAGGGAAGGUUCAAUAAAAGUGUCUCACGGAUUGCGGGCGGUUCAUAGCACAUGAGUUGUGAGCUUCCUAAAACCUAUCACA